rnacentral:rRNA from 1 species
UACGUAGGGGGCAAGCGUUGUCCGGAUUCAUUGGGCGUAAAGAGCGUGUAGGCGGCCAGGUAGGUCGGUUGUGAAAACUGGAGACUCAACCUUCAGAGGUCGACCGAAACCAUCUGGCUAGAGUCCGGGAGAGGAGAGUGGAAUUCCUGGUGUAGCGGUGAAAUGCGCAGAUAUCAGGAAGAACACCCGUGGCGAAAGCGGCUCUCUGGAACGGUACUGACGCUGAGACGCGAAAGCGUGGGGAGCGAACAGG